rnacentral:rRNA from 1 species
GUGGGGAAUCUUGUGCAAUGGGCGAAAGCCUGACGCAGCCAUGCCGCGUGGAUGAUGAAGGUCUUAGGAUUGUAAAAUCCUUUCACCGGUGAAGAUAAUGACUGUAGCCGGAGAAGAAGCCCCGGCUAACUUCGUGCCAGCAGCCGCGGUAAUACGAAGGGGGCUAGCGUUGCCCGGAUUUACUGGGCGUAAAGGGAGCGUAGGCGGACAUUUAAGUCAGGGGUGAACUCCCGGGUGUCAACCGCGGAACUGCCUUUGAUACUGGGUGUCUUGAGUAUGAGAGAGGUGUGUGGAACUCCGAGUGUAGAGGUGAAAUUCGUAGAUAUUCGGAAGAACACCAGUGGCGAAGGCGACACACUGGCUCAUUACUGACGCUGAGGCGCGAAAGCGUGGGGAGCAAACAGGAUUAGAAACCCUAGUAGUCC